UACAGAGGUCUCAAGCGUUGUUCGGAUUCAUUGGGCGUAAAGGGUGCGUAGGCGGCGCGGUAAGUCGGGUGUGAAAUCUUGGAGCUUAACUCCGAAACUGCAUUCGAUACUGCCGUGCUUGAGGACUGGAGAGGAGACUGGAAUUUACGGUGUAGCAGUGAAAUACGUAGAUAUCGUAAGGAAGACCAGUGGCGAAGGCGGAUCUCUGGACAGUUACUGACACUGAGGCACGAAGGCCAGGGGAGCAAACGGG
rnacentral:rRNA from 1 species